rnacentral:lncRNA from 1 species
CAGUGAUGUCAGCGAGGGUGGGGUGGAGUGUGGUGCGUGUGCAGCCUCCGGAGGCAUCUGCUCCUGGGUCCCUGAUUCUGAGUGUGAUCCGCUGCCUUCCUGCGUGUUUCCCUAUGACUGCCUGAGCGAACAUUCUAGAGCUCACUCGUGGCAAGACUGACUGCCUCAGUGGCAAGUUGCAGAGAAUGAGUGUGUUUUGUCCUUGCCCACAAGGCUUAUGAAGAGCUGUAAAGAGUUCCUCUGUGACUUGUGUAUCCCUUCUCUGUAUGUGUCUCUCAAACAUUCAUCAAGUGGCAGCCAGGGUCAAGAUACAAUGACAAGCGUGGCAGUCCAUACCCUCAGGGGUGUGGUGUCAUCAGGAAGGACUGUAUUGUCAACAAAUCACAGCAAAAAAUGGCAAAGCUGUGAUGAUUCAAGCUCGUAUAAAUUACUGAGAAGAGGGAAGCUAGGUAGAGUUCAGGUCCCUGAGGAAGUUGAGGAAGAUGGUACUUUUAGUCCAGGAAAUGAAGUUUGGGUGGGGUUUUCCAGAAAACAAAUGAGAUCAGGUUACUCAGGGCAGAGGAAACAGCAGGUGAAAAGACAAAAGCCUGCCCUGCUUGGAGAAUUGUUUAGUAGCUCAAUGUGGCUGGAGCAUCAUUUAGAGGGAUGGCGGUCAAGAGUGAAUGGGAUAAUUGAUUAUAAAGUUUAUAGAGAUGGAAAUAAUUGCUAAAAGGAAAAACAAAGCAACAAUGUGCAAAACAAAAUAAGGUCCCACCCCAUUCACUGAUCUGUGCUUUGACACUGCCUUUCUUUGAAAUUUUUUGAAAGAGAUGAAUCACCCAGAAUUUCUAAUGGUGGGAUUUUUAUUUUAAAGAUGGAUUUCUUUUUUCAGAGGAAAAUCAAACUGAGAUUAUCUGGGGUGUUUUAUCAACAGGAUUAAAAUUCUGGGUUUUACUGUAUGAUUUCACUCAUGUGGAAGAUAAACAAAUACAUGGACACAUGCCCCUCACCCCACCUGCUAUGGACUGAAUUCUAUCCCUCCAAAGAUGUUAUAGUCCUAACCUCUAGCACCUGUGGAUGAGACCAUAUUCGGAAGUAGAGUCUUUGAAGAAGAUCAAAUUAACAUGAGGUCAUUAGGACGGGCCCUUACCCAACACGACCAUCUCCUAAAAGGGGAAAAUUUGGAAACAGAUAUGCACACAGAAAGAACAUCAUGUGAACACGAAGGCAGAGAUUGGGAUGAUGCUUCUACAAACCAAGGAAUGCCAGAAAUUUCCAGCAACCACCAGAUGCUAAGAGAGAGGCUUGGAACAGUUUCUCCUUUACAACCCCCAGAGGGAACUAAACCUACUGACAUCUUGAUUUCAGACUUCUAGACUCCAGAACUGUGAGACAAUAAAUUUCCAUUGUUUAAGCCACUCAGUUUGUUGCCCUUUGUUACAGCAGCCCCAGGAAACUGACACAGUACCAGAUUUCGGAAGCAGCUUUGCUGCAGCCUGGGAUAGAUGGGAGAAAGGAGUGCCUGAGAGUGGGAUGCCUGCCUGAUGGGGAGAGAAUUUAAGAUAGAUGGGAAGUAUACAUGGAAAGCUCAGAGGAAUGGCACUCUAGAGGGUUCUGAGCUACAUAAGAUGACUAUCCAGAUCAGACCUGGCUCUUUGGUACUUUUCAAAGAAAACUGAUUUUAUGACAAUGCAACUGAAAGGGCUUUAGAUUGGAGAGUACUGUAGAACUCAAAUAAGUGCUUCUUCGGUAAUCAAAAUAAGUUCAUUCUUGAGUGAGGGAAUAUGUAUUUAAUGUAGCCAUCCAAGGAAAUCAUGCGACAUGGACUUUCAAAGCAUGUGCUUCACAAAAGAAAGGAAUGAUUAUCCGCUUCUUUCCUAAAAGUUGAAUAGCUGUCAUUUGUUCACACCGAGGAGGCUCUGCAAUGUGGCUUUAGACUGCUGUGCUUGUGGGUCAUACGGCAGCAUCUUCACGAAACAUGGAUGCAAAAUAAGAUGAAAGUUGAACGACAAGAAGAUAAAGAUACAGUUGGGAAGUUCUCAUUUGUGGUGUGAGAUUCCAGGGCAAAGAGGUCCAAACUGCAAAAAGUGAACUGGGGAGCAGGCUUUCUGGAGUUAUAAAGAAGUGGAUCUUUCUCUUGGCAACCCUUGGGCACCCUAAGAGAGGGGACAGCAUCUGAAUCCUUGAUAUGUCUCUGGUGCCUGUCUUAUGGUCUAACACCUGGCAGGUAAUUAACAAGUGCUUUAUGAAAGAAUACAUGAAUGAAAUCACUGAUUGACAGACUGACCUUGAUUUCUCAAUCCUUGGUUAAUUAUUUAAAAUAUAUUUGGAUCUCAGGCACACAGAAGUGUCUUGCCUACUUGUCAUAAAUGUGUCCAUGGCCCUCUCUUAUUUAACUCCAUCUUCUUGUUUUCUCCUUCAUCCUUCAUCUCUCUAUUUCCAGUUGCAUGUACCCAUCUGUCAACCACUUUAUCUAGAAUAACCACAUUAGUUAGGGUAUUUCUAUCUGUUGUAACAAAUAAAUCUAAAAUCUCAGUGACUUGACUAAAUAGAAUUGUAUAUCUUGCUCACGUGUUUAUGUAUGUGUGUGUUGGAGGAACUAUCUCGUUGUCUCUGUCUCUCUCUGGGUACAUACGUACAUAUAGACAGAGAGAUAGAGACAGACAGAAAGAGAAAGACGGAAUUAUAAAGAUACAUAGAGAAGAUGCACGAAUGAGAGAGAGUGAAAGGAAAAUACGCACUGAAAGGUGAACCCUGGUUACUUCCGGAUGCUAGGAUUAUAGGUAGCUUUUAUUUUCUUCUUUACAUAUUUUUUUGCAUUUCCAAAUCUUCUAAGACAACUAUAUUAUUAAAAAAAGUUAGUUUUUUGAUUUUUUAAAAAGAGACACUAGCACAGAAAUGUAAUACAGAAGAAGCUAUGAGGACUUGGUGAGAAGAAAGGCCACUCUGGGAUCCAGAGAGCAAUGGGAAGUGAUUCUAGUCAAGAAAGAAAAAGCAAUGGAAAGAAAGAGAAGUGAGUAGUGACUGUGACAAAAAUCGGUGAAUUUCCUUCCCCUCUGAAAACUCUGGUGAAUGUUCUGAUGGCGUGUGUCUCUGGCUGAAAGUUGCCUAAAUGGAUGAUACAUUCUGUGAUUUCACAGGAAAUGGAAGUCAAGUGACUGGAGCUCCAGCAGCCACUGAAGGGCAAGUGAUGGUGGAGAGCCCAGAUGACAGGUCAACUGAGGUGGAGCCACUUGUGCCUCUCAGGGCAAACAGCGGCAUCCCAAGGGGUCAUCCAGUGUCAGAUUCCUUUGUCUUCAAACUUACCUUUCCCUCUCCCCACACUCCAUUGCUGCUUUCACCAAUAAAGGUUUAUAUGCCUCACCACCUAGGGGAGCUUGCUCUGAUCACUGUAAUGCAGAAAGCCCAGGAGAAUGGUUUCAGCUCCCAUAGGCUGAAAUCCUGAAUUUGACUAUAGAAAUGGUGUUCCAAAAUGUGACUUGGUUUUAUAACAUGUCCACCAUGGCUUUAUAGAAAGUCUACUAUCUAGAACAUUAAAUUACAAACUUAUUUCUCUCUUAGAAACAAAGGGUUUAAUCUAAAUAUUAGAACAUAAGUUAUCCUUAAGUGUAUUCUUGCUACCCUAAAGAAAACACUAUGCAAAUUAAAAAGACAAUAAGAAAAGAGAAAAUGUAAGCAAGGAAUAAACAUUUGAAAAAAAUUUAACUUCACUAAUAAACAGAGAAACAUAAAUUAAAAAUAAAACGUUGUGUAUUAAAAAAAUUAGAAUUAAUUCUAUUUUCCAUGAAACAAAAUCAGGGCUCCUUGGAUAAAUGGCCGGUCUCAGAAUGAGGGCAGGGUAACUGUGAGAGGAACUCUGGAAUGGUUUUUGGUGGGGAGGCCAGAAUAUAAGGAAAGGUUUAAAAAAAUGAGGGGGACGUAGCCAAAGAAUUUAUGAGCAGACUUUCAAGGGUUCCCUUUAGCCAAAUCAGGGACAAUUUCAGUAUCAGAAUGAAUAAUAGCUGUAGUGGAUUAUAACACACUGAAUAUAAAAAGGAUCCACGUAUCAAAGCUUUUUGUUACAGUAAAAUAGCAAAUAAUAAAUGCAGAAGGAAUUCUAGAAUUAGAGAAAAUCACUGUGUUGCAACAAUCAUAGUAAUGAUUGUUUCAGACACGCAACAAAAUGGAUGCUAAAACCCAUGGGCGAGAGGUUUGUUGAAAGACAGGAUAUUUACACAGUCUCAAGUGUCUUCCUAUAGAAUAUGUAUUAAUUACAAAAAGGAAAAGCUACCUUUAGAGCAGAGAAACAUGGCAGAAUCACUGUAACCAUGUGAUCAAAGUUAGCAUCACCUACAGCAGGACAAACUGACAUCGUGAUGUAACACGCUGAGAAUGACACAACAUUGCUUCUAUGGCAUUCUUGCCAAAAAUACAUACCCUGAAUCUAAUUAUGAGGAAACUCAGGAAAACCAGAUGGAGGAACAUUUUAUAAAAAACGACCUGUCUGUGCCCUUCAAAUGUGUCAAUAUCACAAAAAACAAAGACUGAGAAACUGUUCCAGAUUGAAGAAACUGAAAAGACAUGACACAAUAUGUCACCCUGGAUUGGAUUCUAGAUCAGAAAACAAAAUGGUAUAAAAGACAGUAUUAGGGCAUUUUAAAUAUAGGACUUGGUGUUGGAUAAUAAUAUUUUAUCAAUGUUACAUAUGCUUAAUUUGAAAAUAUGACAAUAUAAGAGAG